rnacentral:rRNA from 1 species
GACGAACGCUGGCGGCGUGCCUAAUACAUGCAAGUCGAACGCAGUGGGGACGGGUGAGUAACAAGUGGGUAACCUCCCAUCAGAGGGGAUAACACUUGGAAAAAGGUGCUAAAACAAAACUGCAGGAUGGACCCGCGGGGCAUUAGCUAGUUGGUGAGGUAACGGCGCACCAAGGACACGAUGGAUAGGCGAGCUGAGGGGGUGAUCUGCCACACUGGGACUGAGCCACGGCCCAGACUCCUACGGGAGUCAGCAGUGGGGAAUCUUCGUCAAUGGACGAAAGUCUGACCGAGCAACUCCGCGUGAGUGAAGAAGGUUUUCGGAUCGUAAAACUCUGUUGUUAGAGAAGCGGUAUCUAACCAGAAAGCCACGGCUAACUACGUGCCAGCAGCCGCGGUAAUAC